CGCCGUUGCGGCGGCGGUAAAUAGGCGAUUAAGCCGCAAGCGUGCCCGCCGUCGUGCGGGCGGUUCGC
rnacentral:ribozyme from 1 species